rnacentral:sRNA from 1 species
AAAUUUCAUUUAUUGGUUUAUCUCAUCCCAUCAGCUAGUAACCGCAAAACUCCCCCUCCCCAAAUCGUGAGAAAUUAAACUGAUCUCUGUCACUCUCCUCUCUCUUAACAUUUCACCAACAACAAUCAUUUUUCAGUUUUCUCCUUUCUUCCUCGUCCACCUUGAGUCCUCAGUUUGUGAAGGGAAUUUAUGGAAAUUGACAUUGAUGAGCUUCUGGGUCGUAACCGGCCGGUGAGCAUUCCGACGAAAAGGGCGAUUUACAUGUGAGGAUAUUGCAUGUCCGAGCAGACGGGUCGGAAUGGGAAGGAGUAGCAGUUAAGGAUCCCGAAGUAGCUCUCCAGGGCUUUUUAGGUGCAUGGCCGGGGCUAAUUGGUGGUGGCUGGACAUUGCUUGCGAUCGCGAGCACACCGCCUCUGCUGCCUCAGAUAGGUUGCUUUUCACUUGGGGACGAGUUGUCUACCUAAGUGUUAUAUGGAAAAGGAGAAUUAAAGAUGAUUCCUUUGCUGGAUGUUGAACAAGUAUUGGUGGUUGGUGGUUCUACUUCAUGAGGGUUUAUAAUUCAAAUAUCAACUAUGCAAAUUUGAAUUGUGAUUGGCUUGAAGAAAGGAUUGCAGAGAAGAUGAAUAUCAUUGGAGGACCAAGGAUGGAACCAGGACUUGAGUUUGUUUUAGAGUGAAACAAAUUCUACAUGUUUUGGUACACUACUGUAGCAUAACUCAGUGAUUUGGUUUUCUUAAUAUAACUACUCAUUUUGUUGUUAGCUUUUAGUUUAAUAUUUGAAUAUGUGAAUUUUUAUAAAGUAAAUAUGC